ensembl:lncRNA
ACUCUCUCUCCUUCCUUCAGUGUCCUUCAGCACCAUAUCCCCCAGCUGCCAGGUGAGGCCAUGCACUUUCCACGGCAUCUCAGGGAGAACCUCGAGGCAGUCAGUAACUACUGUGGCUGCAGAUGCUGGGUUCACUGGUGAUGGUGGGGCCCGUCUGGUCUCCCCACUGGAAAGAUGCUUUAGUUUCAAGGAAGCUGAAUCAACCAGCGCACAUGGUCACUUGAAUCAGGACACUCCAGACACAGAGACGGGAGACAGUGCAGAGCCAAGGACAGAAGGGCCAGGAGAGAGGCUCUCCUCUCGGGAGGAAGUGACAAUAAUAA